GAUGUUGGCUUAGAAGCAGCCAUCAUUUAAAGAAAGCGUAAUAGCUCACUGGUCGAGUCGGCCUGCGCGGAAGAUGUAACGGGGCUAAACCAUGCACCGAAGCUGCGGCAGCGACGCUGAUGCGUUGUUGGGUAGGGGAGCGUUCUGUAAGCCUGCGAAGGUGUGCUGUGAGGCAUGCUGGAGGUAUCAGAAGUGCGAAUGCUGACAUAAGUAACGAUAAAGCGGGUGAAAAGCCCGCUCGCCGGAAGACCAAGGGUUCCUGUCCAACGUUAAUCGGGGCAGGGUGAGUCGACCCCUAAGGCGAGGCCGAAAGGCGUAGUCGAUGGGAAACAGGUUAAUAUUCCUGUACUUGGUGUUACUGCGAAGGGGGGACGGAGAAGGCUAUGUUGGCCGGGCGACGGUUGUCCCGGUUUAAGCGUGUAGGCUGGUUUUCCAGGCAAAUCCGGAAAAUCAAGGCUGAGGCGUGAUGACGAGGCACUACGGUGCUGAAGCAACAAAUGCCCUGCUUCCAGGAAAAGCCUCUAAGCAUCAGGUAACAUCAAAUCGUACCCCAAACCGACACAGGUGGUCAGGUAGAGAAUACCAAGGCGCUUGAGAGAACUCGGGUGAAGGAACUAGGCAAAAUGGUGCCGUAACUUCGGGAGAAGGCACGCUGAUAUGUAGGUGAGGUCCCUCGCGGAUGGAGCUGAAAUCAGUCGAAGAUACCAGCUGGCUGCAACUGUUUAUUAAAAACACAGCACUGUGCAAACACGAAAGUGGACGUAUACGGUGUGACGCCUGCCCGGUGCCGGAAGGUUAAUUGAUGGGGUUAGCGCAAGCGAAGCUCUUGAUCGAAGCCCCGGUAAACGGCGGCCGUAACUAUAACGGUCCUAAGGUAGCGAAAUUCCUUGUCGGGUAAGUUCCGACCUGCACGAAUGGCGUAAUGAUGGCCAGGCUGUCUCCACCCGAGACUCAGUGAAAUUGAACUCGCUGUGAAGAUGCAGUGUACCCGCGGCAAGACGGAAAGACCCCGUGAACCUUUACUAUAGCUUGACACUGAACAUUGAGCCUUGAUGUGUAGGAUAGGUGGGAGGCUUAGAAGUGUGGACGCCAGUCUGCAUGGAGCCGACCUUGAAAUACCACCCUUUAAUGUUUGAUGUUCUAACGUUGACCCGUAAUCCGGGUUGCGGACAGUGUCUGGUGGGUAGUUUGACUGGGGCGGUCUCCUCCUAAAGAGUAACGGAGGAGCACGAAGGUUGGCUAAUCCUGGUCGGACAUCAGGAGGUUAGUGCAAUGGCAUAAGCCAGCUUGACUGCGAGCGUGACGGCGCGAGCAGGUGCGAAAGCAGGUCAUAGUGAUCCGGUGGUUCUGAAUGGAAGGGCCAUCGCUCAACGGAUAAAAGGUACUCCGGGGAUAACAGGCUGAUACCGCCCAAGAGUUCAUAUCGACGGCGGUGUUUGGCACCUCGAUGUCGGCUCAUCACAUCCUGGGGCUGAAGUAGGUCCCAAGGGUAUGGCUGUUCGCCAUUUAAAGUGGUACGCGAGCUGGGUUUAGAACGUCGUGAGACAGUUCGGUCCCUAUCUGCCGUGGGCGCUGGAGAACUGAGGGGGGCUGCUCCUAGUACGAGAGGACCGGAGUGGACGCAUCACUGGUGUUCGGGUUGUCAUGCCAAUGGCACUGCCCGGUAGCUAAAUGCGGAAGAGAUAAGUGCUGAAAGCAUCUAAGCACGAAACUUGCCCCGAGAUGAGUUCUCCCUGACUCCUUGAGAGUCCUGAAGGAACGUUGAAGACGACGACGUUGAUAGGCCGGGUGUGUAAGCGCAGCGAUGCGUUGAGCUAACCGGUACUAAUGAACCGUGAGGCUUAACCUU
rnacentral:rRNA from 1 species